ensembl:lncRNA
GAACCAGGCUCCGCUUCCUUCAAAAAAGGGGGCAGAGUCCCGUUGCCGCUGCCGCGAUCUGGGGCUCGUUCUGGCAGCCGACAGACGAGAACCACUUCCAGCAGUAGCACGGGCGGUUUGAGGAUUACAGUGGUGGCAAACCCCGCAGGGAACCAACCCUCUGGGGACCAUCACUCCUCUUGCAUCUCCGAUCCAGAGGAGUAACCCAUGGAACGCGCUGGGCCCUCUUCAAAGAGCGUACCAGUGGUAUCCAGUGGGCCUCCUCCCGACCAGAUGUCGAUCUCAGCAUCGGAGGGAGAGCUGUCAGAUGAAGAUUCAGCUGCGCUGCCGCCCUCUGGGAUGGUGGCAAAGCCUGAAUUGGAUCCGGAGAUGACAGCUAUGCUUUCCCAGGCCGCCGAGAGAGCAGGAUGAUUGGUUUCUCAAGGUGGUGCGUGCUGGUUCUCAGCUCCCCACCCUGGUGCCUUUCUUCCCGGAAGUGCAUGACGAGCUCACCAGGUCAUGGAUGGCACCUUUUACUGCCAGAAACCGGCUGGUGGGCUCCUCCUCCCUCACCACCCUCGAUGGCGGUGCAGCGAAGGGGUAUUCGGUGAUUCCCCCAGUGGAGCGGGUGGUAGCGAUGCAAUUGUGUCCUAAGUCUGCCUCCUGCUGGUGGGGAGACCCAGUGCUUCCUUCCCGGGACUAUAGGCAUUUGUCUGGUCUAACCGGUGGUGCCUAUAUGGCUUGCGGGGAAGCUGCUUCUGCCUUACACGCUGUGGCGUUACUGCAGGUGCACCAGGCCAAGGCACUGAAGGACCUGCACGAGGGUGGUCACGAUCCAGAAGUUCUGAAAGAACUCAGAACCACCACUGGCCUUGCGCUCUGAGUGACGAAGGUCACCCGUGUUCUCUGGGUCGUGCGAUGUCCACACUUGUGGUCCAGGAGCGCUAUCUCUGGCUGAGUCUGGUUGAAAUUGGGGACGCCGACAAAGAUCAGUUCCUUAAUGCCUGUGUCCCAUACCGGCCUCUUCGGUGACGUGGUCGAGAACCUGGCCCAGCAGUUCUCGGAUGCACGGGAGCAGACUGAGGCGGUCCAACCUUCUGCCCGGCGGGCAGCUGCUGCCUCCACCCAUCCACCGGUUGCAGCGCCCCAGCCUGCUCGUCGCCUAGGGCGGCCCCCUGCGUCCACCCCACUCCCGCGCCGCAUCCGCAGCAGCCUCCAGCAAGUGGGACCGUAGAGCUGGGCGUAGGCAGGCCGCCCCACCCGUCCUGGCCCCCGUCAAACCUGGCGGUGAGCGGAAGAGCAAGAGCUACAGCAGGGCCCACUCGAGGCCUUUGCAUUCAGUCGAGCCAAAGUUUCUUUCAUUGAAAACUCUG